rnacentral:rRNA from 1 species
GACGAACGCUGGCGGCGUGCUUAACACAUGCAAGUCGAACGGAAAGGCCCUGCUUUUGUUGGGUGCUCGAUUGGCGAACGGGUGAGUAACACGUGAGUAUCCUGCCCUUGUCUUUGGGAUAACUUCAGGGAACUGGGGCUCAUACCGGAUAGGAGCUCCUGCUGCAUGGUGUGCGUUGGAAAGUUUCGGCGGUUUGGGAUGGAAUAGCGGCUUAUCCGCUUGUUGGUGUGGUAGUGGCUUACCAAGGUUUUGACGGGUAGCCGGCAUGAGAGGGUGACCGGCCACAUGGGGACUGAGAGACGGCCCAGACGCCUACGGGAGGCAGCAGUGGGGAAUAUGGCACAAUGGGCGGAAGCCUGAGGCAGCAACGUCGCGUGCGGGAUGACGGCCUUCGGGUUGUAAACCGCUUUCGCCGGUGACGAAGCGUGAGUGACGGUAAUGGGUAAAGAAGCAACGGCUAACUACGUG